AAUCUCUUGAAGAAGUGACUACUUGAACGGAGACCAGUCGAUCAUUCUUUCUGCGAUUAAUUCCAGAAAUUCACCGUGGUGAGGAAUAAAUUGUUGCUUGAUUCCAGUCUGCAAAGUGAAGAUGGAGAAAUCAGUGAUUGAGCAUGUAGAUGGAAUCAUGAAUAAUUCAGUGGAAAGAAAAAGUGAGCUCGGCACGGACCAGAACUUGUUUCAAAAUGAGCUUGAACUGUCUUUAGAUCGAGUCAAGAGAGUCGAACUCGCGAGCCUACGAACGAUUCGGCAUAUGUUUACCAUCCCUACUGAUAAGAUAACGUUUGAUUCAAAAGCAUGUAAAAUGUUUUGAGAUUUUAUGAAAAAUUAAUUUUUUGGACAA